rnacentral:rRNA from 1 species
GUGGAUUAGAUACCCUGGUAGUCCACACUGUAAACGAUGAUUGCUAGGUGUGGGGGGUCUGACCCCCUCCGUGCCGGAGUUAACGCAAUAAGCAAUCCACCUGGGGAGUACGGCCGCAAGGUUGAAACUCAAAGGAAUUGACGGGGGCCCGCACAAGCAGUGGAUUAUGUGGUUUAAUUCGAAGCAACGCGAAGAACCUUACCAGGUCUUGACAUCCAACUAACGAGAUAGAGAUAUGUCAGGUGCCCUUCGGGGAAAGUUGAGACAGGUGGUGCAUGCCCGUCGCCAGCU